rnacentral:rRNA from 1 species
GACGAACGCUGGCGGCGUGCCUAAUACAUGCAAGUAGAACGCUGAAGGAGGAGCUUGCUUCUCUGGAUGAGUUGCGAACGGGUGAGUAACGCGUAGGUAACCUGCCUGGUAGCGGGGGAUAACUAUUGGAAACGAUAGCUAAUACCGCAUAAGAGUAGAUGUUGCAUGACAUUUGCUUAAAAGGUGCAAUUGCAUCACUACCAGAUGGACCUGCGUUGUAUUAGCUAGUUGGUGGGGUAACGGCUCACCAAGGCGACGAUACAUAGCCGACCUGAGAGGGUGAUCGGCCACACUGGGACUGAGACACGGCCCAGACUCCUACGGGAGGCAGCAGUAGGGAAUCUUCGGCAAUGGACGGAAGUCUGACCGAGCAACGCCGCGUGAGUGAAGAAGGUUGUCGGAUCGUAAAGCUCGGUUGUAAGAGAAGAACGAGUGUGAGAGUGGAAAGUUCACACUGUGACGGUAUCUUACCAGAAAGGGACGGCUAACUACGUG